ensembl:snRNA U2 U2 spliceosomal RNA
AUCACUUCUCAGCCUUUUGAUUAAGAUCAAGUAUAGUAUCUGUUCUUAUCAGUUAAAUAUCUUAUAUGUUCCUGUUCUCAGGACAAUAUUAAAUGGAUUGUUUGAAAUAGCAAAUGGAACAUAAGUUUGUUUUGUCUACUCCAUACAUUAACCUGGCACUGCAGUACUGCCAGGAAGAGAUAGAAGAAAA